CAACGUUGAAAUUGUGGAGAAAGGCCACGGAUUGACUUUUGUUUUCAUACAUUUUCCUUUUUAUUAAUUCAGAUCAACGUUGAAAUUGUGGAGAAAGGCCACGGAUUGACUUUUGUUUUCAUACAUUUUCCUUUUUAUUAAUUCAGAAUAAAAAGUGGUCCAAAGAA